CCUGAAUUAAAGGAUUACUUUGAUAGAGUAAAUAAUGAAAGUUAAAAUCUUUCCAUUUCCUAAAAAAAU
rnacentral:tRNA from 1 species